GCAUAUGUGCUUUCCCGCAGGUACAUCUUAAUCUCAACACUUCUUGCUAAACUGCUUGGUUCUGAACAUAUCAAGGAAUUGUAUGCUAAUGACGUCUGAUUUUAGUAUUGAAUACCAAGCUUGGGAAGAUUGUUUACCACAUGUUGAGUUUGCUUAUAAUCAUUCUGUUCAUUCUGUUACUAAGUAUUCAUCGUUUGAAAUUGUUUAUGGUUUUAAUCCUUUAACCCCAUUAGAUUUAACUCUAUUGCCUGUUUCUAAGCGUCUUAACUUAGAUGGCAAGAAAAAGGUUGAAAUUGUUAAACAGAUACACAAGAGGGCGAAGUUCAACAUCAAGCAGAGAACUGAGCAAUAUGCUGAACAAGCUAAUAAAGGACGACAUAAGCUAGUCUUUGAACCUAGCGAUUAGGUAUGGUUAUAAAUGCACAAGCAACGAUUUCCUAAACGAAGGAAAUCUAAGUUAUUACCUUGAGGGGAUGGUCCUUUCCAAGUCUUGGAAUAGAUCAAUGACAAUGCAUACAAGCUAAAUUUGCCCGGUGAGUACAAUGUAAGUACUACUUUUAAUGUUUUUUAUUUAAGUCCUUUUGAUGCAGGUGACGAUUUGAGGACAAUCCUAAUGAUGAGAUUAAGGACAAAACUGUCAGAAGCACAUGGGACACAACAUAUUCAAAUCUUAUUCAAGCUCCCAUUGGACCCGUCACAGGAGCUUGAGCAAAGAAAUUCAAAGAAGCGCUUAAUAGAUUGAUUCAAGCAACAUGGGCUCAAUCAAAUUCAUGGAGGCCCGUUGAAGGAAUCGUACAUGAUGAAUGCGUGACCAAGCUCUUAAAGCUUCCAAAUAAUCACUUCCAUGAAAUAAGAAAUUGACUUGCACAUUAUGGCGGGAAAAUAUUUUAUUUUCCUUUUUCGGAUACUUUCCCGUUUCUUGAGGAGGCUAUUAGAGAAACAAAUUAGUUAUUUCUAUUUUAAUCCCCUAGUUUCCAUUUUAAUUGAUGUGAGGCAUUUAGGUCGAUUAGAAUUUUGAUUUGAUUUAGAUUCUUUCCUAUUUACUUAGAUUAGAAUUCUGAUUUGAUUAGGAUUCUGAUUAGAUUUAGAUUCUUUCCUAUUUGUUUAGAUUCAGAUUCCGAUUUGAUUUUAGUUUAGGAUUUAUUUCCAAAAAUUCUUGUAACCAACCCUAUAUAAUGUACUCACAUCCAAUAAACAGAGACAAAUCAAUUUUAAUGCAAUUGGUGAGAGAGUUAAUUCUCUUUGGUUAUUAAACAAACUCUUUGAACUUAUCAGAUUUUUGUGGCGUUUAAAUUGUUGAUUUAUCAAUUAGGUCAUCCAUAACUUAUUGUUUCCUUUAACCCCAUUAGAUUUAACUCUAUUGCCUGUUUCUAAGCGUCUUAACUUAGAUGGCAAGAAAAAGGUUGAAAUUGUUAAACAGAUACACAAGAGGGCGAAGUUCAACAUCAAGCAGAGAACUGAGCAAUAUGCUGAACAAGCUAAUAAAGGACGACAUAAGCUAGUCUUUGAACCUAGCGAUUAGGUAUGGUUAUAAAUGCACAAGCAACGAUUUCCUAAACGAAGGAAAUCUAAGUUAUUACCUUGAGGGGAUGGUCCUUUCCAAGUCUUGGAAUAGAUCAAUGACAAUGCAUACAAGCUAAAUUUGCCCGGUGAGUACAAUGUAAGUACUACUUUUAAUGUUUUUUAUUUAAGUCCUUUUGAUGCAGGUGACGAUUUGAGGACAAUCCUAAUGAUGAGAUUAAGGACAAAACUGUCAGAAGCACAUGGGACACAACAUAUUCAAAUCUUAUUCAAGCUCCCAUUGGACCCGUCACAGGAGCUUGAGCAAAGAAAUUCAAAGAAGCGCUUAAUAGAUUGAUUCAAGCAACAUGGGCUCAAUCAAAUUCAUGGAGGCCCGUUGAAGGAAUCGUACAUGAUGAAUGCGUGACCAAGCUCUUAAAGCUUCCAAAUAAUCACUUCCAUGAAAUAAGAAAUUGACUUGCACAUUAUGGCGGGAAAAUAUUUUAUUUUCCUUUUUCGGAUACUUUCCCGUUUCUUGAGGAGGCUAUUAGAGAAACAAAUUAGUUAUUUCUAUUUUAAUCCCCUAGUUUCCAUUUUAAUUGAUGUGAGGCAUUUAGGUCGAUUAGAAUUUUGAUUUGAUUUAGAUUCUUUCCUAUUUACUUAGAUUAGAAUUCUGAUUUGAUUAGGAUUCUGAUUAGAUUUAGAUUCUUUCCUAUUUGUUUAGAUUCAGAUUCCGAUUUGAUUUUAGUUUAGGAUUUAUUUCCAAAAAUUCUUGUAACCAACCCUAUAUAAUGUACUCACAUCCAAUAAACAGAGACAAAUCAAUUUUAAUGCAAUUGGUGAGAGAGUUAAUUCUCUUUGGUUAUUAAACAAACUCUUUGAACUUAUCAGAUUUUUGUGGCGUUUAAAUUGUUGAUUUAUCAAUUAGGUCAUCCAUAACUUAUUGUUGCAUCCUCACAUACCAAGGUUCGUGCUUUCAUUAAGCAUUGGGUCAUGGUUCCAUUCAAUUCCCAAUUUAUAUUCGAUCUUGGGAACUAAAUUUAUUAGGGUCACGUUAGUUCUUGACGGGAUUCGUAUCACACCUAGUAAAAAAAUAACUAUUGUUCCAUCUAAACCACAAUUUCCGCAAGCAUUCAUUAAACCAAAGAAAUCAAACUACUCUUUUGAAAUUUAUGAAAUCUUUAAGUGAAAGUUAACAUUUCUCUACUUGAUGCAAUCAAGUAGGUACCUUUAUAUACUAGAUUUUUAAAGGACUUAUGCACUGUCAAGAGGAAAUUGAAGGUAAGAAAGAAUGCUUUCAUGGCUAAACAGGUAAGUAUUAUUCUAUCUACUAAUAAUAACUUGAAAUAUAAAGAUCCUGGUUGUCCUACUAUUUCUUGUAUUAUUGGUGAUCACAUAAUUGAGCAUGCUUUGCUAGACGUUGGUGCUAAUGUUAAUUUGCUUCCAUAUUUAGUUUAUCUUCAACUUAAUCUUGGUGAGUUAAAAUCAACUUCAACUAUACUUUUGCUUGCUGUACUAAAAGAAAUAGUGGAAGACGUGUUUAGUACAAGUUGAUAAAUUCGUAGUCUAUGGAUUUUAUUGUCUUAAAGACCGAACCUGUUGUGAAUAAUUAUAAACCAAUUCCUGUAAUUUUUGGUCGGCCAUUUUUAACAACUGCUAAUGCUUUGAUUAAUUGUAGGAAUGGUUUAAUGAAUUUGUUAUUCAGAAAUAUGACUCUGGAAUUGAAUGUUUUUAAUAUGUGUAGGCAACCUAAUGAAGAAAAUGAAAAUGAAGAUGAUACUGAUGAACAAUAAGAAUUGGUUGAACUUGUAUAGAGGAAAAUAUUCAGUAAGGGAACUUUACUGAACUUAGUGAUAUUUGUUUGUUUAAUUUGACCAACUUGAGCUUGAUACUUUUAAUAUAAAUUUGUUACUUGAUUAUGCUCAGACUUUACAAAAUGAUGAUGAAAAACCAAAAUUUGAAAAGCUUGAAAUCAUUGAAAUCAUUGAAAAGACAGAACAACAAGAAGCACCUAAAGUGGAAUUGAAACCUUUGCUCGAAGAGUUGAAGUAUGCUUAUUUUGGAGAAAAACAAACUUAUCCUGUUGUGAUUUCUUCUACUCUAACAAGCGACCAAGAAGGUAAGUUAUUAUAUGUUCUUAAAAAGCAUAAAUAUGCAAUUGGAUGGACUUUGAAUGAUAUUAAAGGUAUCAAUCCUUUAAUUUGCACACAGAGAAUCAAUUUGGAAGAAAAUGCUAAAACAUGUCAACAAUCUCAAAGAAGAUUAAACCCACACAUAAAAGAAGUAGUAAAGACAAAAGUCCUUAAAUUACUUAAUGUAGGUAUUAUCUAUCCUAUCUGUGAUAGUAAGUGGGUAAGUCCUACACAAAGUAGUGCUUAAGAAAUCUGAAAUCAUUGUUGUCAUCUAGUUACCACCAUAAAAGAUAAUUUUCUAUUAUCAUUUCUUGACCAAAACUUAUAAAGAGUAACUGGACAUUCCUACUACUGCAUUUUAGAUGGAUAUUUAGGUUAUUAUCAAAUUCCUAUAGCACUUGAAGAUCAAGAAAAGACCACAUUUACAUGUCCCUUUGGAACAUUUGCAUUUAAUAGAAUGCUAUUUGGACUUUGUAAUACUCCUACAAUAUUUCAAAGAUGCAUGCUAAGUAUUUUCAGCGAUAUGGUUGGUAACUGUUUAAAGGUCUUUAUGGAUAAUUUGAUUGUGUUUGGGAAUUCUUGUGGGUCAUACUGUAUCUGUUAAAAGAAUUGAAGUUGACAAAGCAAAAAUUGAAGUCAUAUCUACAAUAUUUCAAAAAUGCAUGCUAAGUAUUUUCAGCGAUAUGGUUGGUAACUGUUUAAAGGUCUUUAUGGAUAAUUUGAUUGUGUUUGGGAAUUCUUGUGGGUCAUACUGUAUCUGUUAAAAGAAUUGAAGUUGACAAAGCAAAAAUUGAAGUCAUAUCUAAAUUACCAUAACAAAAAACAAUUAGAGAUGUGCAAUCUUUUUAGGACAUGCAGGAUUUUAUAAGAGGUUAAUAAAAAAACUUUAGUGCCAUACCUAAACUACUUUGUAACCUCUUAUUAAAAGAUGCACCAUUUGAAUGGAUUGAUGAUUGUUAAAAAUCUUGAGAAAAUAUUUUUUCUUUUAACAUAUGCACCUACUAUGCAAUCUCCUUAUUGGUCUUUGCCUUUUGAAUUAAUGUGUGAUGCAAGUGAUUUUGCUGUUGGUACUGUUUAAGAACAAAAAAAGGCAUGGUAAGCCCUUUGUGAUUUAUUAUAUAAGUAAGAUUUUGGAUAGUACUCAAAUAAUGCUUAGUACUAAAUCUAUUGCUUUUACUGAUCACGCUGCUUUGAGAUAUUUGAUAACUAAAUAGGAUGCCAAACCAAGACUAAUAUGUUGGAUUUUGUUAUUUUAAGAAUUUAACCUCACCAUCAAAGAUAAAAAGGGUGCCGAAAAUGUCGUUGCUGAUUAUUUUUCAAGACUCACAUAUGGAUUUUACACUGACAUAACACCUUAUGUGAACCCCACAAUGAAACUUUGAAACUAAUGAGAACCAUCGAGGGAAUACUAUUAAAGCUUCAACUAAUCCCUUGCACAUUUAUGGAGGCCCAAUUACAAAAGCUAGAGCCAAAAAGAUGCAAGCUGGUUUGAAUUGAUUAAUUGAGAAAAUAUGGAUUGAAAAUGCAAUUCAAGAUGCAAGACAUCAUGAAUUGGGCUUGGAGAGAAGACAAGGCAUUGUGGGCAUUAUUCAAGCUAUUGGGCAGCCAAAUACACAAUUUGGAUCAAAUGCAGAAAGGGCAAAUCCAAAAUAAAAUUGGUAUUCAUUGAGCCAGAAGUAAUGUUCAACCAAUAUACCGUUGGAAAGAAAUUAAGUUAACUUUCCAAUGCAAUUUACAGAGCUAGAUUUAAAGUUCUCUAGAAGGAGUUAUUACUAAUUUAUUACAGCUUGUUCAGACUUGGGAUUUCCAAUGACUCCUUUGUUUAUUCAACUUCAUUUAUUUGUUUUAUUUCAAGUUUGUCAAUAUGUAAUGUAAAUCUACCAUCAAUGAUGGUGGGCUAACAUUAAGUUUGUCAAUGAUAGCAUUAAUUAGGGUAGGCUAGCAUUAAGUUUGUCAAUAAUAGCAUUAAUUAUGGUAGGCGAGCAUUAAGUUUGUCAAUGACUAGCAUUACUAAUGGGGAGCUGGUGAAGACUUUUGAAGCAUCCUUUGACAAACUUGUACUUGGGUGGACUCAGCAACCUUACUAUGUAAGACAAUGAGAGAUUAAUGUUAUUUUGAAUUUGAAAGAUCAUUAUUUCUUUGGUUCUUUUAAGAGCUAGUGAACUCAUCAAGAAUUUACAUUCUUGUGGCGUUCCAAAAUAGACUUAUCACUCACCUUCUCAUCUAAAUCUUGAGUGUGGCGUCCAUAUCCUUCUCUAUACCUUUGGUUCAUGUUUUCUUAAACAUUGGGUCAAGGUUUUUGUUUCGCUUAAAAUCUAUUUACAACUUUCUUGGGAAGUUGAAACUAUAAAUUCAUAGUGGGUUUAUGAUGUGAACCCCACAAUGAAACUUUGAAACCCACACUUAAUUUGUAGUUUUAACUUCCCAAGAAAGUUCUAAACAGAUUUUAAGCGAAACAAAAACCUUGACCCAAUGUUUAAGAAAACAUGAACUAGAGGUAUAGAAAAGGAUAUGGAUGCCAAACUCAAGAUUUAGAUGAGAAGGUGAGUGAUAAGUCUAUUUUGGAAUGCCACAAGAAUGUAAAUUCUUGAUAAGUUCACUAGUUCUCAAAAGAACCAAAGAAAGAAUGAUCUUUCAAAUUCAAAAUAACAUUCAUCUCUAAUUGUCUUACAAAUGAAAACAUUGGAACAACCCUCCAAGGAUAGGUUUGUCAAAGGAUACUUUAAAAGUCUUCACCAAGCCACCUUUGAAAUAAAACAAAUAAAUGAAGUUGAAUAAACAAAGGAGUCGUUGGAAAUCCCAAGUCUAAACAAGCUGUAAUAAAUUGAUCAUAACUCCUUCUAGAGAACUCCAAAUCCAGCUCUAUAAAUUGCAUUGGAAAGUUAACUUAAUUAUCUUUUCAAGGUAUAUAGCUUGCCCGUUACUUCUAGCUCAAUCAAUACCAGUUUUAUUCCGUAUUUACCCUUUUUGCAUUUAAUCCAAAUUGUGUAUUUGGCUGCCCAAUAGCUUAAAUAAUGCCCACAAUGCCUUGUCUUCUCUCCAAACCCAAUUCAUGAUGUCUUGUAUCUUGAAUUGCAUUUUCAAUCCAUAUUUUCUCAAUUAAUCAAUUUAAACCAGCUUGCAUCUUUUUGGCUCCAGCUCUUGUAAUUGGGCUUUCAUGAAUGUGCAGAGGAUUAGUUGAAGCUUUAAUAGUAUUCCCUUGAUGGUUUUGAUCAGCACCCAUCAAUAAUUCUUUCCUUGAUAAAUUUUUAUUUUCUGUCACUUCAAUGCCAUAGUAUGCUAACAAUGUUAAUUUCCUUGUUAUAGGUAAAAUGUCUUCACAAUGGAAUUCUCAAAAGAAGAGUUUUUGUUGUUGAAGUAAAGAAAUUUUAUUAAGACGAUCCUUUCUUGUUCAAUAAUUGCUGAUCAAAUUUUUUCCGUGACAUAUUCCUGAUAGGUAAGUAGUGUCAUUAGUUUUUCUCAUUCUGAAGCAUCUAGUGGACACUUUUCUUUAAGAAAAACUACAGUUAAAAUUUUACAAUGUAGAUUUUAUUGGCCAUUUGAAUUUUGUAAAACUUGUGAAAACUGUCAAAAAUUUGGAUCAAUUACUAAAAUAAACAUGAUGCAUUUAAAUCCCAUGAUUGAGAUCAAAAUAUUUGACUGUUGGGAAUUGAUUUCAUGGGUCUGUUUCCACCAUCUUUUGGAUUCAUGUCCAUAGUAGUUGCAGUUGAUUAUGUCUCAAAAUAGAUUGAAGCAAUUUCUUGUUGAAAUAGUGAUAGCAAAAUUGUGAUUAAAUUUUUAAGAGAAAAAUUUAAUGAUGGGGGUAAACAUUUUUGUAAUAAUCCUUUUAAGUAUUUAAUGAAAAAAUAUGGAAUUACACAUAAAGUUAUUACCGCUUAUCAUCCUCAAACAAAUGGUCAGUUUGAAUUAGCAAAUAGGGAGAUAAAACAAAUUUUUGAAAAGACAGUUAACCCAAACCGUAAAGAUUGGUCUCUUCAUUCGACUCAUGUACUCUGAGCUUACCGUACUGCGUUUAGGAUGUCUUUAGGAAUGUUACCCUAGUGGCUAGUUUAUGGUAAACCUUGCAACUUGUUGAACUUGAGCAUAAAUCAUUUUGAGCUAUUAAAGCUUUUAAUUCAAAUCUUGAUAAACUUGGGGAAAUAAGGUGAUGCAUAUGAAAAUUCAAGAUUAAUUAAGGUAAGAACCAAAGCUUUUCAUGAUAAAAGAAAUUUUUGGAAAAGAUUUGAUAUUGGUCAAAAAGUGUUGUUUUAUAAUUCUCGUCUUCAUUUGUUUCCAGGAAAGUUAAAGUCAAAGUGGAGCGGCCCAUUUGUUGUAAAACAUGUCUACCCAUUUAGGGUUGUAGAAAUUGAGAAUCCAAAAAAGUUAAUGACAAAGAUUAAAACCAUAUCUGUAUUACCAACCACACGAAGGAAGCACCAAAAUAAAUUUGAGUGACCCACCUGUUGAGUGUUAGAAAAUGCAUAUUUAUAAAGGAGAAAACCGUCAUUUUACAUUUCAAGUCUUACUAACAACCCUUACUUUUAUGUAUUUAACAUUCUUAUGAUUUAAUUACGUGUGUUUUAUUUUAAUUAAGUAAUUUAUGUAUUUUAGGGGCAUUAUAGUCAUUUCACAAUAAAGGAGAGAUCAGACGGCAAAACGGACAUCACUUUUGAACUCAGGACCGUCGAAAACCUUAGGAGGAGCAUAAAAGGAAAAAUGACACUAUUCACAUGUACGGUACUAUUCACGUAUACAGUACUGUCUACGUUACUGUUCACGACACUGUUCACAUAGACGGAUCGAUAACGUGGCAUUGACCGAUGAUGUGGCAUUGACUGAUGAGGUGUCACGAUCCUGUUGGACUAAAAUUCUCAUGUACUGUUGAUGGUGACGUGGCAGCAUAUCAGUGGACGAAAAAUCUCACGUACGGUGCAUGCAUCACACAGGAUUAUUUUCAACCAAACCGCAUUACUGUUCAUCCGGGUCAAACCGUGUUACUGUUCAUCCACGUGGUCAAACCGUGGAAUGUUGACUGAUGACGUGGCGCAAUCCUGAGCGUCCAAACUGUUUUUAAUCCGAUGGCCAUGAUGUACUCCAUGUAUCUAUAAAAAGGGGGCCUCUCCCCCCUAAUUUGAUAUCUCUGAAUGUGGCGUAAUCCUGAGCGUCCAAACUGUUUUUAAUCCGAUGGCCAUGCUUUACUCCAUGUAUCUAUAAAAAGGGGGCCUCCCCCCCCUCAUUUGAUAUCUCUGAAUCCAUUUUUGGGAUCCAUUUUCUGUAAUUCCUUCUCCAUCUUGUAUUUUCUUCGUAUUUUAAUAAAUUUCCAUUUUGCCCCUAGUUUAAUUAUGAGUGGCUAAUUUUCUUUCAAGCUUGGGUUGAAGGUGAAGUCUCAACAUGUGUCAUGGGCUUAAUUUGGUAAAUUUAUUUUCUCUUCCCCUCUAGUUUUUGUGGAUGUUUUGACUUCUCGUCGACAAAUAAUACUAAUCUUGUCUAGUACCGCCUUGGUUACACCGGCUCUCUAGUAUAAGGUUAUUAUUAUUUGGCACGAUAAGCCCUUAGCACCAUAUUGAUUAGAGCGUGGUUCAUGCGGUGUGGAUUCCCCCCUCAUGAUUUAAUUGGUAUUAAUAAGGAAUAUUUAGCCCAUGAUGCAUGUUGAUACGGAUCCAGAUACCCAAGUACGUCAUUUCAAUAGAAUCCUCUUCAAUUCAUUCUCGCCAUUUUAAUUCCAGUUUUAGAAUUUAUUCUCGCCAUUUUAAUUUAAGUUUUAGCAUAUUCCAAAUAAUUUCCACCAUAAUUCCAACCACCCAUUUACAAAAUUAAUUCUAUAUAUAAUUAAAAUCCACCUCCUCGUGGGAUCGACACUUGUCACCAUUGAUCUACACUACAAUAGAUUCGUGCGCUUGCGAGUACAUUAAAAUUUGCACAACACCACCAAAUCUUGAUUAAUUUUUUUUUUGUUUAUGAGUGAUUUAACUUUUUAUUGUUUGACUUUCUUGAGUGAUAUAUGUUAUUAUGUUUCUUGCUUAAGUGUGUUUGAUGAUUGUGUUUCCUUUUGUCAAUAUACAUCAUGAGAACUUAUACGAACCCCGUCAAGAACUAACGCGACCCUAAUCAAUUUAGUCCCCAAGAUUAAAUCUAAACCAACAAUUGAUUGGAACCUUGACCCAAUGCUUAUUGAAAGCACGAACCUUGGUAUGUGAAGACGCCACAAUCAGCUACAAAUGGUCUGAUUGAUAAGUCAAGAGUUUUAACGCCACGGAAAUCCGAUAAGUUCAAAGAGUUCGUAAAGAACCAAAGAGAAUUAACUCUCUCACCAAUUGCAUCAAAAAAACUUCUUUUAUAUUUAUUGGAUAUGACCCUCUAGUUUUUGUGGAUGUUUUGACUUCUCGUCGACAAAUAAUACUAAUCUUGUCUAGUACCGCCUUGGUUACACCGGCUCUCUAGUAUAAGGUUAUUAUUAUUUGGCACGAUAAGCCCUUAGCACCAUAUUGAUUAGAGCGUGGUUCAUGCGGUGUGGAUUCCCCCCUCAUGAUUUAAUUGGUAUUAAUAAGGAAUAUUUAGCCCAUGAUGCAUGUUGAUACGGAUCCAGAUACCCAAGUACGUCAUUUCAAUAGAAUCCUCUUCAAUUCAUUCUCGCCAUUUUAAUUCCAGUUUUAGAAUUUAUUCUCGCCAUUUUAAUUUAAGUUUUAGCAUAUUCCAAAUAAUUUCCACCAUAAUUCCAACCACCCAUUUACAAAAUUAAUUCUAUAUAUAAUUAAAAUCCACCUCCUCGUGGGAUCGACACUUGUCACCAUUGAUCUACACUACAAUAGAUUCGUGCGCUUGCGAGUACAUUAAAAUUUGCACAACACCACCAAAUCUUGAUUAAUUUUUUUUUUGUUUAUGAGUGAUUUAACUUUUUAUUGUUUGACUUUCUUGAGUGAUAUAUGUUAUUAUGUUUCUUGCUUAAGUGUGUUUGAUGAUUGUGUUUCCUUUUGUCAAUAUACAUCAUGAGAACUUAUACGAACCCCGUCAAGAACUAACGCGACCCUAAUCAAUUUAGUCCCCAAGAUUAAAUCUAAACCAACAAUUGAUUGGAACCUUGACCCAAUGCUUAUUGAAAGCACGAACCUUGGUAUGUGAAGACGCCACAAUCAGCUACAAAUGGUCUGAUUGAUAAGUCAAGAGUUUUAACGCCACGGAAAUCCGAUAAGUUCAAAGAGUUCGUAAAGAACCAAAGAGAAUUAACUCUCUCACCAAUUGCAUCAAAAAAACUUCUUUUAUAUUUAUUGGAUAUGAGUACUUUAUAAAGGGUUGGUUACAAGAAUUUUUGGAAAUAAAUCCUAAUCCAAAAAUCAAAUCUGAAUCUGAAUCUUCCCUAAUAGGAAAGAAUCUAAAUCAAAUCUGAAUCCUAAUCUAAGUAAUUAGGAAAGAAUUUAAACCAAAUCACAAUCCUAAUCUAAGUAAAUAGGAAAGAAUCUAAAUCAAAUCAGGAUCCUAAUUGGCUUAAACGUCUUACAUCAAUUAAAUGGAAACUAGGCAAUUAAAAUAGAAAUAACUGAUUUGUUUCCCUAAUAGCCUCCUCAAGAAACGGGAAAGUAUCUGAAAAAGGAAAAUAAUAUAUUUUUCCUGCCAUAAUGUGCAAACCAACUCCCUAUUUCAUGGAAGUGAUUAUUUGGAAACUUCAAGAGCUUGAAUCAUGCAUUUAUCAUGUGCGAUUCAUUCAACGGGCCUCCACGAAUUUUAUUGAGGCCAAGUUGCUUGAAUCAAUCCAUUAAGCGCUUCUUUGAAUUUCUUUGCUCGAGCUCUUGUAACGAGUCCGACGGGAACUUGAAUAGGAUCUGAAUAUGCCUCAUCCCAUGUGCUUGUGAUAGUUUUAUCCUUAAUCUCAUCAUUCCCCUCCUCUUGAAGAGGAUUUGUCCUCAAAUCAUCACCUACAUCAAAAGGGCUCAAAUCAGAAACAUUAAAAGUAGCACUUACAUUGUACUCACCAGGCAAAUCCAGUUUGUAUGCAUUGUCAUUGAUCCAUUCCAAAACUUGGAAUGGGCCAUCCCCUGCAUCCAGAAACAAGAGACUUUUGGACACAAGAUAUGGCCUAUGAAUAGAAAACUUAUCCCCAUCCUUAUACCCUCAUCCAUGAUACAUCUGUUACCGUUGUUCUCAAGUCAUACCUAAUGGAACUCAACAAUGUUCAGCCACCUGCCACAAACAUCCACCACACCUCUGUUGGACCAUCACACACCUUAGAAAUUAUCCCAAAGACACAACUUGUACUCCAGGUUCCAGUUCAAGUCCCCAAGGAAUCCUUGUCAUGGAACAACAUGCAUGGGAAUCUUUAGCUUUUGCUUUUUUAAAGUUUGCUUUAAUAAUUAGACAAGGGUCCCAUCUUGUCUAAAGUGUGUCUUAUGCUUUUUCUUUUUCUAGUUUGGCGUGGCGUGCUUUAAUAAUUAUGCUUUUGUAAAAGAUAAGGGUCUCACCUUAUCUCUCCUUCCUCGAGAUCUCUAUAUAAGGAUCUCUCUAUCCCCUUGUCAGGCAGGAGCUAAUCAAAUAAAAUUUAAGUUUUCUUUACAUCAUAUUUCCCUAAAACCUUUUCUCUCUUCUAGGAAUCAAAGAAGUUAUUUGGGUUAAUAAUGAUACGCUCACCUCUAAUUUUCUAAACUGAGUAUGCUCUGCACUUGCCUUAAGCCUAAGGAUCCUGUGCAAUAGAAAUGUCCUGUUUUAUUCUCCAAAACCGAUUUUUAUAAAAUGAAAUUGUUUUCUCACAACGCUCACCCUCUUUGAAGGCCAAGAGUGCCGUGUUUUUGGGUGGUAUCGUGAAAAACUAUUUUCAGAUAUGAUUUUCGGAUUUGGUAUUUGACGGAUAAGUAUAUAUCGGCUAAAAACCAGAACUUGCGGGCUAUUAGCCCUAAGGACAGACUUUGUUUUGUUAUAGAUCUGGUGUAACAACGCCACGUACAACUACCCUAUGGUAUCAGAGCAAUAUAAAGCAACAUUUAUUAUUUCUAACCAUUUGAUAUUUGUCCCUCUAAUUCAACCAUUACUCCACUACAGAACAACACCUUGGGUACCGAACCCCCAAGAUAACUUACUUCUAGCCUUUUUUUUUUCUUUUCACAAGUUUUUUUUUUAAUAAGAAAGUAUGCCUUUCACUAGUAGUAAAUACAUAAUAUCUAUCGGAAAUUCACUCAACCAUAUGACAGCUUUAGUUUUUUGCAAUGCUAACUUAUCUAAUGAUUGGGAAAUUCCAUUACAUAACCUAGGAGUAUGCUUAGCUUUAAAAUUCUAAUUAUUCUUUUUGUUUUCUAGAAUUUUAGAGAUGCAACUUUUCCUUUUUUUUAACUAAGUCUACCAUCUAUUGGGAAUCAAAUUCUAUAAUCACAAAGGUUCCACCAGCUUUUAACAAUAGCAACCAAGCAAUCUCUAUCAAAACUUCUAACCACAACCCCCAAGCCUACCACUUUCUUUCCAGCAUCCACAACAUCAUCCACAUUAACUUUCAUCCGGCCAUUUGGAGAGGGGCACCACUGUUUUUGCUUCUUAACUUCUUUGCUUUCAGGAUAAAUCGUCCAAGGUUGGCUAAUUUUUUAAAAGCCUCCACAACUAACUCUAUACUUGCUACUAACCUGGUUGGGUUUCCUUUUUUUCCUCUCGAACAAUUAUUUGUUUCUUGCAUUCCAAAUUACCUAUAAUAAAGCUGCUACUAACUCCCCAUCACUUUAGUUUGCUGUUGAGGUAAGAUUUAAUGCAAUUGAGCUAUGUCAUGAAAGUGCUCCUCUUGAAAUUCAACUGUCAAUUGAAAAUUUUUCUGAACUUUCCUUGCCAUUUUGCACUCUAACAAAGUAUGAGCUAUGUACUCCACAUUAUAGCAGCAGAUUUAGCAUAUAGGCUCUUUGAAAACUCUUUUCUUCUAUAAGUUUUUAACAGUGAGAAGUAAGUCUUGUACAGCUCUCCAUAAAAAUAUUUUCACCUUCUUUGGUAAGGCAAGCUUCCAACAAUACUCCAUUGGUUUUGUUUAUAAGCAGAACAACUUGGAUAAUCUAGGAACUUUAUCUUCAUAGCCACUUGGUAUCCACUUUUAACUGAGUAUUGCCCUCUUUUAUCAUAGUGCCACAUCAAUUGAUCCUCAUUUGUUGUUAAAGAGGUAAUUUUGAGAAUCAAAUUAGUGAUCGUUUCCAAGAAAUCCAAGAGAAGAUAUAUGUGCAAUUUUGUAAAACAAAUCAUAAACACGAGUGAUGAAUCCAAUUCAAAGAUUUUGUCGUAAGUUUUGGGGAUAUAAUAAUCACUUUUAAGAUAAAUGUAUUGGUAAUAAUACUAUAAUAGAAGAUUCUACAUGAUCAACGCUGUCAAAAUUGUUUUUAUAAAUGCACAUAUUUGUAACGUUAAUGUGUCCAUUCAGUGUCUCUAUGGAUCAUCUCUAAGCAUGGCUUGCCGUUCUGAUCUGGACCAAUCCCGUUAUUUUUAAUUAUUAAAUUUUUAGUGGCAUUAACUUUAUUAUAAAAAUCAUUGAUUAAAAUAAUGCAAUGCCAACCCAAUUACUUGGUUAAACACUUAACCUAGGUUAACCUAAUCCUUAAUCCUUAUCACCUAUUUUAAAACAUAUUUUAUCUGUAGCAUUGGAAUGCAUAAUUUACUUGUGAUUAAUAUUAUUCUGGUAUCAUAGAAAAUAACUCAGAAAUUUAGGGUCUUUGAAAAUUGUUUUUAAGAGACUCAAAAGUGAUUUUAAAAGUUAAAAGUCAAUUUUAAUAUUUAUAAAUUUCUUUUAAAAUUAUUUUUGGCAAAAUCAUCUCAUCUAUAACAAAUUUUGAAAAGUAAGGAAGGGGUUGAAAAUCAAUUUUAUAUUUAAUACAAUUCCAUGUAUAUUCUCAUAUAGGGUAAAAGUUCGUUUAGUCCUUAUAUUUUGAGGUUAGUGUUCAUUUAGUCCCUGUAUUUUUUAAAAUAUCUCAAAGCAUCCUUAUGAUUAAAUUAUUGACACUCUAGUCAUUACCUUUUGUUCCUUUUGACUUAUUUUUACAAUAUUACCCUAUUACAAAUUUAAUACCAAAACAUAAAAUAAAAACAAAAUAUAUAUAUUAAUUUUUGUGGAAUACUCUCUUCAGGAAUUAAAAUAUUAAUUUUUCUAACAAAAUUGAUAAUCUAAUUUUUUACAAUAUUAAUUGUUUUGGACAUACAUAAGCUUCCACAAAAAUUAAUAUAUAACUUUUUUGUUUUUAUUUUAUUUUUGGGUUUAAUUUGAUAAUUGAAUUUUUUAUUUUAUUUUAUUUCUAUAAAGUCAUUAAAUUUAAAAGAAUUAUUAUUAUUGCCAAUUAUAUUAAAACUAUAAAAUAAAAACACACAACACUUUUUUAAAAUAAAUUUCACCAAAUGUUUAAUUGAUUUGAUUCACAACUGAUUAUUUUUAUAGUACAAUUAAAAGUAAUUAUUUUAAAAGCUGUGACAUUUCCAAAUUGAAUUAUAUGCCAAACUCGAAUCCUUGGGAGAUGGAGGGGCAAAAAUUUAAAUUAGACUAAAAAAAUAAAAAUUAUUGCAGAGAAUAAUUCAUACAUCCUUGGACAGUCAACCAUAAAAAUGCGUUUGGCUAUUACAGGAACAUGCUAUUUUUUUAACAUAAUAUAUUUAGAUGGUAUGAGAAUGCUCGUACACACAAAUUACAAAAUAGAGAUACAAAAUUUACAUCUCAAAAAGAAAUAGAACUAAUCAAUCACUAUCAUGGAUUUAGUAAUAGUUGAUUGUUAAUAAUAUUAUAAAUGAGAUAAUUUUACAAUAUUAAUAAGUGAUAAAUCAAUGACAUAAUUAUCGUUUAUACAAAUUUUAAUUUUCAACUUUAUAACACAACUUUGACAUAAUAUUAUAUUGUCAGUAUAUAUUUAGUAGCUGUUUUUUUUUUGACUUAUUAAUGACUCAAUUGACUUAAUUUUAAUCAGUUAAAUCACUAAGUCGGUUACUUUUUCAAAUUCAUGAAAAAUUUCAAUAAUUAAGUCAUUAAAUUAUUAAGCUAAUUAUUUUAGCUUUUUACUUAAUCCAAAAUAUCCCUAUCUAAUUAAUUAAUUUUUAUCCUUACCUAUAUAAAAAUAAUUAAAGCAUGAAGCCUAGUUGGUCAAUAAAAGUUAUUAGACAAAAAAAAAUCUAAAUAAAUAAUUGUAAUAAUAAUAAAAAAAUUAAACCAUGGACAAGGACAAUGAUUUGGAGCACAAACUUUCAACAUUUGUAAAUUAUAUAAAACAACAUUAAAAUAAAUUCAUAGACUUUAAAAAUAAAUAACAUAUAACAUAAAAUACAUUCAGUAUAUAUAUAUAUAUAUGUGUGUGUGUGUGUGUGUGUGUAUUAAAUUACCCUAUUACAAAUUUAAUACCAAAACAUAAAAUAAAAACAAAAUAUAUAUAUUAAUUUUUGUGGAAUACUCUCUUCAGGAAUUAAAAUAUUAAUUUUUCUAACAAAAUUGAUAAUCUAAUUUUUUACAAUAUUAAUUGUUUUGGACAUACAUAAGCUUCCACAAAAAUUAAUAUAUAACUUUUUUGUUUUUAUUUUAUUUUUGGGUUUAAUUUGAUAAUUGAAUUUUUUAUUUUAUUUUAUUUCUAUAAAGUCAUUAAAUUUAAAAGAAUUAUUAUUAUUGCCAAUUAUAUUAAAACUAUAAAAUAAAAACACACAACACUUUUUUAAAAUAAAUUUCACCAAAUGUUUAAUUGAUUUGAUUCACAACUGAUUAUUUUUAUAGUACAAUUAAAAGUAAUUAUUUUAAAAGCUGUGACAUUUCCAAAUUGAAUUAUAUGCCAAACUCGAAUCCUUGGGAGAUGGAGGGGCAAAAAUUUAAAUUAGACUAAAAAAAUAAAAAUUAUUGCAGAGAAUAAUUCAUACAUCCUUGGACAGUCAACCAUAAAAAUGCGUUUGGCUAUUACAGGAACAUGCUAUUUUUUUAACAUAAUAUAUUUAGAUGGUAUGAGAAUGCUCGUACACACAAAUUACAAAAUAGAGAUACAAAAUUUACAUCUCAAAAAGAAAUAGAACUAAUCAAUCACUAUCAUGGAUUUAGUAAUAGUUGAUUGUUAAUAAUAUUAUAAAUGAGAUAAUUUUACAAUAUUAAUAAGUGAUAAAUCAAUGACAUAAUUAUCGUUUAUACAAAUUUUAAUUUUCAACUUUAUAACACAACUUUGACAUAAUAUUAUAUUGUCAGUAUAUAUUUAGUAGCUGUUUUUUUUUUGACUUAUUAAUGACUCAAUUGACUUAAUUUUAAUCAGUUAAAUCACUAAGUCGGUUACUUUUUCAAAUUCAUGAAAAAUUUCAAUAAUUAAGUCAUUAAAUUAUUAAGCUAAUUAUUUUAGCUUUUUACUUAAUCCAAAAUAUCCCUAUCUAAUUAAUUAAUUUUUAUCCUUACCUAUAUAAAAAUAAUUAAAGCAUGAAGCCUAGUUGGUCAAUAAAAGUUAUUAGACAAAAAAAAAUCUAAAUAAAUAAUUGUAAUAAUAAUAAAAAAAUUAAACCAUGGACAAGGACAAUGAUUUGGAGCACAAACUUUCAACAUUUGUAAAUUAUAUAAAACAACAUUAAAAUAAAAAUAAAAAUAAAAUUGAUUAAUAGAAUUAAAAUGAAUAUAUAUAUAUAUAUAUAUAUGUGUGUGUGUGUGUGUGUGUGUAUUAAAAUGAUGUAUAAAACUUAAGCUUUUUUAUUUCAGAUUGGCUCCCCUACAACUGAGACCAAAGGUGCCUUUUAUAGAGGAUCAUUGAGAACAGAACCUCUCGAAUGAUCAUAUCACAUGGCACAGUCUAAUAAUAUGAAAAUUAAGAAUGAGUUAAAAAUAAAAAAAUAUAAAUUUUAAUACAAUGCAUUUUAUUUUAUGAUAUAAUAAAUUUAUACUUAUUAUUAUUUAACUUGUGUAUAAAUUCUUAAUUAUAAGUUCAUAUAUAUAUAUAAUAAGACCAAAAAAGAGGCAAUAGCAGUCAAAAUGAAAGGAAAAUAAAAGGAAAGAAGAAGGCGGGUUCCUUGCGGCCAACGCACUUAGGUUUGGCAUUAGGUUCGGAGUGUAGACUUCGCGUGUGAAGAUAAGAACGGCCCUCCUCCUCUCUCUUACGAACAUUUUUCUUUCAUCGUCUCAGAGUCUCAGCCGCCUCUGCUUUUGUCUACUAAUAAUAUCAAGCACUCUCUCUUUAAACCCUUUUUCUCUAACUGAACGAGAUAUUCAGUCUGUGAGUUGUUCAAGCUGGCGAUCGAAAAUCAAGAAUCCACUGUCCGUGAAAUCAAGCCCAAGAAUCGCAGAAUAAUGGUAUUACAAUUGCAAACAACUUUUUCACAUUCUUCCUUUUCUUUAUCCCCCUUUGGGCAUUUUUCUUUAUUUGUUUACAACAAUGGCCUAAUGUAUAUGUGUUUGAUUAUUUGUCAUAGGGCCCCGAUGAAGAGGACAACAGGUGGCCUCCAUGGCUGAAGCCAUUGCUAAGGGAGAGCUUCUUCGUUCAAUGCAAGUUACAUCCUGAUUCUCAUAAGAGUGAAUGCAAUAUGUAUUGUUUGGAUUGUAUGAAUGGCGCUUUCUGCUCUCUCUGCUUGGACUACCAUAAGGACCAUCGUGCUAUUCAGGUUCAAAAAUCAAAAUCCCAAAAUCCCCUGUUUCUUUGAAAUUGACCAAUCAAGCUAAUUAUAAACUACUGGGCAUCCUUGAUUUUAUUGAUUUGAUUAUAUGGAACAGAUAAGAAGGUCCUCAUACCAUGAUGUGAUAAGGGUAUCUGAAAUUCAGAAGGUGCUUGACAUAUCUGGAGUCCAAACUUAUGUUAUAAACAGUGCCAGAGUUGUGUUCUUGAAUGAGAGGCCUCAGCCUAGGCCUGGCAAGGGUGUCACAAACACCUGCGAGGUUUGCGACCGCAGUCUCCUUGAUUCCUUCCGCUUCUGCUCUCUUGGCUGCAAGGUAACCUUAAUCACAACUAAUUUCAAUGUUGUCCCAUUUUUCUUGUUUGGUUGAUGAGCAAGUGUGGGAAAAGAAAACAAUAAUGUUCAGUUAACACAUUGUUUGUUUGGUUGGAAUGGAGUUGACUUCUCAUAAUGAAUUAAUUACCCCCUCUAAUUUUUUUAUUCCUUAAUGACUAAGUAGCUUACAGAAGGUGGAGUACUUGAGAAUUCGAUUUCAAAUUUCAAUUACCCCUUUGAUUAUUGAUUGAUUAAUUAAUUUGAUUGCUUUAAUUUUUUUUAUUCCUUGACGACUGUUCAUCUGGUCCUGGAUGCUGGAUUUUCUUUAAGUCCGAGAAAGUUGUUACACCAAUAAUUAGAUUGAUUAUGAAGUGUGAAACAUGAACACCCCUUUCAAAUUUCAAUUACCUAUUUUUUUGUGAAUUUGCACAUUUUUAUAAAAUUUCUAUUUUCAAAAUAUUGAUGUUAUUAUAGAUUGUUGGAACAUCAAAGAAUUUUCAAAAGAGGAAGAACCGGCUAGCAAUGGGAUCAGACUCUGAGGAUUCAUACAGCAGCGGCAUCCACGGCAAGCUGAAGAAUAGGGACUUCAGCAGCAACAACAACAACAAAAUGCAAAGCUUCUCCCCCUCAACACCCCCUCCAACUGCUGUUAGUCACCGAAUCAGC
rnacentral:lncRNA from 1 species